UUGACAUGCUAGGAACUUGCCAGAGAUGGCUUGGUGCCGAAAGGGAGCCUAGACACAGGUGCUGCAUGGCUGUCGUCAGCUCGUGUCGUGAGAUGUUGGGUUAAGUCCCGCAACGAGCGCAACCCUUAUCAUUAGUUGCUACGCAAGGGCACUCUAAUGAGACUGCCGGUGACAAACCGGAGGAAGGUGGGGGAUGACGUCAAGUCCUCAUGGCCCUUAUGGGUAGGGCUUCACACGUCAUACAAUGGUCGGUACAGAGGGUUGCCAAGCCGCGAGGCGGAGCCAAUCCCACAAAGCCGAUCGUAGUCCGGAUUGUUCUCUGCAACUCGAGAGCAUGAAGUCGGAAUCGCUAGUAAUCGCAGGUCAGCAUACUGCGGUGAAUACCGGUUCCCGGGUCUU
rnacentral:rRNA from 1 species